UUAGGACGAACGCUGGCGGCGUGCCUAACACAUGCAAGUCGAGCGGAGUUAACAAGAGGAAGUUUCGGAUGGAAUUUGUAAUUAGCGGCGGACGGGUGAGUAACGCGUGAGCGACCAACCUUGCACAAGGGGAUAACGGACCGAAAGGUUCACUAAUACCGCAUGAGACCACGGUGUUGCAUGACACAGAGGUCAAAGGAGCAAUCCGGUGCAAGACGGGCUCGCGUCCGAUUAGGUAGUUGGUGGGGUAAUGGCCCACCAAGCCUAUGAUCGGUAGCCGACCUGAGAGGGUGAUCGGCCACAUUGGAACUGAGAUACGGUCCAAACUCCUACGGGAGGCAGCAGUGGGGAAUAUUGGGCAAUGGGGGAAACCCUGACCCAGCAACGCCGCGUGAAGGAAGAAGGUUUUCGGAUUGUAAACUUCUGUCCUUGGUGAAGAGAAGAAGACGGUAGCCAAGGAGGAAGCCCCGGCUAACUACGUGCCAGCAGCAGC
rnacentral:rRNA from 1 species